AUUGAACGCUGGCGGCAGGCCUAACACAUGCAAGUCGAACGGUAGCACAGAGAGCUUGCUCUCGGGUGACGAGUGGCGGACGGGUGAGUAAUGUCUGGGAAACUGCCCGAUGGAGGGGGAUAACUACUGGAAACGGUAGCUAAUACCGCAUAACGUCGCAAGACCAGAGUGGGGGACCUUCGGGCCUCACACCAUCGGAUGUGCCCAGAUGGGAUUAGCUAGUAGGUGGGGUAAUGGCUCACCUAGGCGACGAUCCCUAGCUGGUCUGAGAGGAUGACCAGCCACACUGGAACUGAGACACGGUCCAGACUCCUACGGGAGGCAGCAGUGGGGAAUAUUGCACAAUGGGCGCAAGCCUGAUGCAGCCGUGCCGCGUGUAUGAAGAAGGCCUUCGGGUUGUAAAGUACUUUCAGCGGGGAGGAAGGCGGUGAAGUUAAUAGCUUCACCGAUUGACGUUACCCGCAGAAGAAGCACCGGCUAACUCCGUGCCAGCCGCCGCUGUAA
rnacentral:rRNA from 1 species